rnacentral:rRNA from 1 species
GCCCAAACUCCUACGGGAGGCAGCAGUAGGGAAUCUUCCACAAUGGACGCAAGUCUGAUGGAGCAACGCCGCGUGAGUGAAGAAGGUUUUCGGCUCGUAAAGCUCUGUUGGUAGUGAAGAAAGAUAGAGGUAGUAACUGGCCUUUAUUUGACGGUAAUUACUUAGAAAGUCACGGCUAACUACGUGCCAGCAGCCGCGGUAAU